AUUGAACGCUGGCGGCAUGCCUUACACAUGCAAGUCGAACGGCAGCACGGGUGCUUGCACCUGGUGGCGAGUGGCGAACGGGUGAGUAAUACAUCGGAACAUGUCCUGUAGUGGGGGAUAGCCCGGCGAAAGCCGGAUUAAUACCGCAUACGCUCUACGGAUGAAAGCGGGGGAACUUCGGGCCUCGCGCUAUAGGGUUGGCCGAUGGCUGAUUAGCUAGUUGGGGGGGUAAAGGCCUACCAAGGCGACGAUCAGUAGCUGGUCUGAGAGGACGACCAGCCACACUGGGACUGAGCCACGGCCCAGACUCCUACGGGAGGCAGCAGUGGGGAAUUUUGGACAAUGGGCGAAAGCCUGAUCCAGCAAUGCCGCGUGUGUGAAGAAGGCCUUCGGGUUGUAAAGCACUUUUGUCCGGAAAGAAAUCCUUGGCUCUAAUACAGUCGGGGGAUGACGGUACCGGAAGAAUAAGCACCGGCUAACUACGUG
rnacentral:rRNA from 1 species